UGAGGACACCAAUCGGUGCAGGUGAGUUGGAUGACCACUGAUUAUGACCGAUUUGUCCCGCUGAGG
rnacentral:snoRNA from 1 species